GAGUUUGAUCAUGGCUCAGAUUGAACGCUGGCGGCAUGCCUUACACAUGCAAGUCGAACGGCAGCAUGAUCUAGCUUGCUAGAUUGAUGGCGAGUGGCGAACGGGUGAGUAAUACAUCGGAACGUGCCCUGUAGUGGGGAUAACUAGUCGAAAGAUUAGCUAAUGCCGCAUACGACCUGAGGGUGAAAGUGGGGGACCGCAAGGCCUCAUGCUAUAGGAGCGGCCGAUGUCUGAUUAGCUAGUUGGUGGGGUAAAGGCCCACCAAGGCGACGAUCAGUAGCUGGUCUGAGAGGACGAUCAGCCACACUGGGACUGAGACACGGCCCAGACUCCUACGGGAGGCAGGCAGUGGGGAAUUUUGGACAAUGGGCGAAAGCCUGAUCCAGCAAUGCCGCGUGUGUGAAGAAGGCCUGG
rnacentral:rRNA from 1 species